rfam:Pneumocystis jirovecii, SE8, WGS project CAKM01000000 data, contig: 281
UCCGGACUGGUGUAAUGGUUAACAUCUGUCGCUUUCACCGACAAGCUCGGGGUUCGAUUCCCCGGUCCGGAA